CCUACGGGAGGCAGCAGUGGGGAAUAUUGGGCAAUGGAGGAAACUCUGACCCAGCAACGCCGCGUGAAUGAUGAAGGUCUUCGGAUUGUAAAGUUCUUUUCUAAGGGAAGAAGAAAGUGACGGUACCGUAGGAAUAAGCCUCGGCUAACUACGUGCCAGCAGCCGCGGUAAGACGUAGGAGGCAAGCGUUAUCCGGAAUGACUGGGCGUAAAGGGUGCGGAGGGGGUUUGACAAGUGUGUAGCGUAACUCCGGGGCUCAACCUCGGCACUACUACCAAAACUGUCGGACUUGAGUGCAGGAGGGUCAAAUGGAAUUACGAGGGUAGCGGUGGAAUGCGGAGAUAUUAGGAGGAACACCCGUGGCGCAGGCGAUUUGCUGGACUGUAACUGACACUGAGGCACGAAAGCGUGGGGAGCAAACAGGAUUAGAUACCCCAGUAGUC
rnacentral:rRNA from 1 species